AACUGAAGAGUUUGAUCAUGGCUCAGAUUGAACGCUGGCGGCAGGCUUAACACAUGCAAGUCGAGCGGGGGUAAGGUAG
rnacentral:rRNA from 1 species